rnacentral:rRNA from 1 species
CAAAGGCUUGGUCCUGACUUUACUGUCGACUUUAACUAAACUUACACAUGCAAGUAUCCGCCCCCCUGUGAGAAUGCCCACAACUCCCUGCUUGGGAACUAGGAGCCGGUAUCAGGCACAAGCCCAGCUAGCCCACGACGCCUUGCUUAGCCACACCCUCAAGGGACCUCAGCAGUGAUAAAUAUUAAGCCAUAAGUGAAAACUUGACUUAGUUAAGGUUAAGAGGGCCGGUAAAACUCGUGCCAGCCACCGCGGUUAUACGAGAGGCCCAAGUUGACAAACAACGGCGUAAAGAGUGGUUAGGGAAUUUACUAAACUAGAGCCGAACGCUUUCAAAGCUGUUAUACGCACCCGAAAGUAUGAAACCCAAUUACGAAAGUAGCUCUACCUAUCCUGAACCCACGAAAGCUAAGGAACAAACUGGGAUUAGAUACCCCACUAUGCUUAGCCCUAAACAUCGAUUGCACCAUACACUCCAUAUCCGCCCGGGAAUUAUGAACGUCAGUUUAAAACCCAAAGGACUUGGCGGUGCUUAACAUCCAC